rnacentral:rRNA from 1 species
GUGCCAGCAGCCGCGGUAAUACAGAGGGUGCAAGCGUUGCUCGGAAUCAUUGGGCGUAAAGGGCAGGUAGGUGGUCUGAUUUGUCUGAGGUGAAAUCCUGGGGCUUAACCCCAGAAGUGCCUCAGAAACGGUCAGACUAGAGUGCUGGAGAGGGUCGUAGAAUUCCUGGUGUAGCGGUGAAAUGCGUAGAGAUCAGGAGGAAUACCAGAGGCGAAGGCGGCGACCUGGACAGUGACUGACACUCAACUGCGAAAGCGUGGGGAGCAAACAGGAUUAGAAACCCGAGUAGUCC